rnacentral:rRNA from 1 species
CGGUAAUACAGAGGGUGCAAGCGUUAAUCGGAAUUACUGGGCGUAAAGCGCGCGUAGGUGGUUCGUUAAGUUGGAUGUGAAAUCCCCGGGCUCAACCUGGGAACUGCAUCCAAAACUGGCGAGCUAGAGUAUGGUAGAGGGUGGUGGAAUUUCCUGUGUAGCGGUGAAAUGCGUAGAUAUAGGAAGGAACACCAGUGGCGAAGGCGACCACCUGGACUGAUACUGACACUGAGGUGCGAAAGCGUGGGGAGCAAACAGGAUUA